rnacentral:rRNA from 1 species
AAGUUUCAACAACGGAUCUCUUGGCUCUCGCAUCGAUGAAGAACGCAGCGAAAUGCGAUAAGUAAUGUGAAUUGCAGAAUUCAGUGAAUCAUCGAAUCUUUGAACGCACCUUGCGCUCCUUGGUAUUCCUUGGAGCNUGCCUGUUUGAGUAUCAU